rnacentral:rRNA from 1 species
GUGGGGAAUUUUGGACAAUGGGGGCAACCCUGAUCCAGCAAUGCCGCGUGGGUGAAGAAGGCCUUCGGGUUGUAAAGCCCUUUCGGUCGGGACGAAAUGGUCUGGGAUAACACCCUGGAUUGAUGACGGUACCGACAGAAGAAGCACCGGCUAACUACGUGCCAGCAGCCGCGGUAAUACGUAGGGUGCGAGCGUUAAUCGGAAUUACUGGGCGUAAAGCGUGCGCAGGCGGUUUCUUAAGACAGGUGUGAAAGCCCCGGGCUUAACCUGGGAAUGGCGCUUGUAACUGAGAGGCUGGAGUGUGGCAGAGGGGGGUGGAAUUCCAGGUGUAGCAGUGAAAUGCGUAGAGAUCUGGAGGAACACCGAUGGCGAAGGCAGCCCCCUGGGCUGACACUGACGCUCAUGCACGAAAGCGUGGGGAGCAAACAGGAUUAGAAACCCGGGUAGUCC